AAAUGUGUCCUAAAUAUCAGAAAAGCACCAGGUUCCAUCAAAUCUUGGAUGCUAAGCGGGGCCAGUGCUGGUUAGUACAUGGAUGGGAGACUGCCAUGGAAUAAUAGGUGCUAUAUGUC
rnacentral:rRNA from 1 species